CCCUUCCCCCACUUCUCAGGUGAAUGUAUGAAUAAUGCAUUCCGCUUCUUCUUCAUGACACACACCCCUACCCCCAUCUUCCUCCUCACACAUUGACAGCAUGGCUGCUAAUCAAAAACGACACUUCCCAGUGUCCAGGCGGACAACUCUCUCUCUCACACACACACACACACACACAUUUAUAUGCACUCAGAGAUGGAUAUAUGUACAUUAAUCUACAGAAACAUUUUAUUUAGGCAAACAAAAAGGAUUAAAAAUAACAAAAACUUAGAGAAAAGGAGACUUAAAAAAUGAAAAAAAUUUUUUUAGAGACUCUGAUAUCUGAAAAUGACAAAAACACACAAAAAUUGAAAAGUGAUCAGAAUGGCAUUUUAAAAAGGGACAUGAAGACCAAAAUAAUGGGCAAAGUGAGUGAAAAAUAUCAGGACAUCAAAAAGGGAAAAAAAUGACAUAUUGACAAAACCUACAAACAAAGCCAAUAAUGCCUAAAAAGAAGGAAAGGACUGAUUUUCUUAAAAAUUAACAAAAGAAAAAUGAAAAGCCCAAAUUGUCCAAAAAUGGACCAUAUAUCUCCAAAAUGGAGACAAAAGGAUGGUUCAAAACAAGGAAUAAAAAGGAAAAAAGUGUGACUUGUUUGGUGCAGAAAUCAAACCUGUGAUCAUUAAAACAAUUUAGCGCCUUGUGUACGCUUGUUGAAAUUCUCUGUCGGAAUGUAUUUCAAGUGUGAAAGGAAAAAAAACGCAACUGCAGCCCGUUUUUCCUCUCCCUGUCCCUCUUUGAUAUCCGAAAACACAGAUGGGGUGGGCGCCGAGGAAAGGUCAUGUGUGGACACCAGUCCCCGCCCCCACCCUUGACUCCACCCCUUAAUAACACCUACAUUUUAAGUGUCUGUCCACUGACCCGUUAGUGCUUAUGGAUGUACCCCUCGGCCGGUGAUUUGUUUAAACUGCGGAAAUGGCGGUGGCGGUCUGUAAACAAGCCAAGUGCCGAAUGAAGGCAACCGCCCAAGCGUGGCGGCGGCUCGGCUAUUUAUCAUCGAGCUUUCAUAAAACACCAGCCGAUGCCAGCGCUGUGAUGACUUCAUUCCACGCGGCGGGGCUAAAGUUGGAAAAAGUGCAGCGGAUUUCACCGCAAUCGCGUCGAAGCGAAGCUAAAAAUAUAUAAAAAUCUAUAAUAAUGCACCGAGCCUCUUCUCCCAAGCCACGGAAGACGGCCACGAAGCCCACGGCCAAUAAGUGCUAACAACGCCGCCGUUUCACGCAGCAUUACGCUAACAACCAUCAGAGCGCUGCGCAUUUGCAUCCUCGCCGCCAUCUUUACCUGCCGGUGGUAAUUUAUGGAGCGAAGGCGAGGAACAACACCAGGCUUACAAUUAAGGGCGCGGAGGCAAGAUUUAUGGCACAAGGCUGAGAGACGUGCGGCCGUUUCAGAGUUAGCGGCUAAUGCUAGUUUAAGGUUUCAAACCCAACUGUUUAAGCAUUUUCUUGAGCCGUCACCUGACUGUGGUGGAAGGGUUUGCGUGUCCCAGCGACACCAGUAGUUAAGUUGUCUUGGGGUUUACAGUGCCAAACGUCCUUGGUGAGGGAGCAUACAAAGCACGGCUUUAAAACCUCACAUGAUGCAAAACGGUUUUGGACAGAAUUUCCUCUGCAGCCAAGUUCAGAGAUGGCACUGUGGUGAGCGGCUGCCGACCGGGUCUGCACCCAUGGGGUGAGUCAACAUUGGUUCUCCUUCCCAUGCAUGGACUCACCACCAGUGGAAGGAGCCAAGAGUUAUGUAGAGUGGGGAUGGGCCACUGUUGAUCUCGACUUGGGAAGUUGUGAAUCGGUGGGGAGAAUAUUUCAAAGACCCCACUUCUGUCUGGAGUCUGAGGCAGUUAUCUCGGGUUGAAGUCAGAGAGGUGCCAAAAAAGUUCCUCCUGGAUUGUGAGAGAGUCUUGGUUCACAAUUAUCUCUCAUUGUGUUCAUUGGAAUCUUAAGUAUCAAAAGAUCAAGCGGCUCGGAAGAUGAAUGAAUGACUAGGCAGAAGUGUAUUCAUGUACAGGUGUCGGUCGGGGGGGAAAAAUAGUGGUAUUGCAGAUCCCCGAGAUGAACAAUGGGACUGUUUGUCUAACCAAUCAGAUUUUAAACUUGUCCUCACAGGGUCAGGGUGCCGGCCUUCGAUGAUGUCAGCAUUUGUCCGUCUUCCGAUUGGUUUGUCGGAGCAAACUUUGUUCCUGUUCAUUUUGGCUAGCAAAUCACGUCUCUGGUGAGUCUAAUGUCUUUUGUUGCACGUUGUGAUUUUUGGCUCCUCUUUUUAGAUAUAUAUUGAUUAUGAACUCCUCCAGAUGUGUGUGUUGUAUCCCCUUUUCAUAUAAUUGAUGGUUGGUGUAAUUGCUUGGGCGUGACAGUGGUGCAAGUAAGAGGUGGGUUGCCAAGUGAUUGUGGCGGGACAGAGAAGAGAGGGGAGGGGAGGAAAAAAAAAACACAUUUUCCAAAUCCAAACGCGGCGGCGGGGAAAAAAAACAACAAGCGUAUUUUACGGGUGCAGUUAAUGGGAAUAAAGCAGGCGGGCAGAUGAGUGCAGAUGUGUUUGAUCCAAAUGGUCAUUUUCCUAUUUGCUGCCUCAUUGAGCAUGAUGAACGACGGCCGUCAGCCGGGCGGCAUGAUGAAUGGCGGCACCUCGGCGCCAUUGCAUGCCCUAUUGAUUCGCCUUCUUUAUUACUCCCGAAACCCCACGGCCUGCAUGGCUGCCUGCGAAAGAGGAGGGCGCACGGCGUUCCCCUCUCACGCCAUGACUGACGCCAGUUUGGACCAGUGGACAACACUCACCUGGACAAAUUAGGCCCUCGAAAGUGACAUUUACAAAAUCACCUAAGGACGUCGUUUGUUGCAAAAACAAAACAUGACACGUAAAAAUGAGAGAGAUUCAAAUGUGAUCUGUGAAUUUUUUUAAGGAUAUGAUUUUUUUAAAUUAUUCAAAUUCAUUUAAAUCUAACUACUUCACCACAAAAAGGCUAAAUUUGUUCUAUUUUCAGUUCAAUUCACAAUUUUUUUACAUUUAUGUAUUGAAUUUUGUAAUCAAAAAAAACAUUCAUUUGGCCAAAAUGUUGUUUUUUAUGUAAAAUUGUGUAACUGAUAUGAGAAUAAUUCAAAUUGUAAAAGUCUAUGAUUACAAUGUAUUCAAUUGUAAUCAAUUUAAAUAUUAAAUAAAAUAAACAUUCAACAAUUCUUUUUUUUUAAGUUUACUCAUAAUAUAAAAGUUUCACAUGUUUUUAUAUGUGCUUAUUUAUUUGUUUAUAUUUUACAAUAAAUCAAAUAUACCGGGCAAGCAUGAAUAAAGAAUGCUGAACAAUUGACAAUUUAGUCAGAUUGCACGAAACAUCGGCACUGGAGCUGAA